rnacentral:rRNA from 1 species
UACGUAGGGUGCGAGCGUUAAUCGGAAUUACUGGGCGUAAAGCGUGCGUAGGCGGUUCGCUGUGUCCGAUGUGAAAGCCCCGGGCUUAACCUGGGAAUGGCAUUGGAAACUGGCGGGCUUGAGUGCGGCAGAGGGGGUGGAAUUCCGGCGUGUAGCAGUGAAAUGCGUAGAGAUGCGGAGGAACACCGAUGGCGAAGGCAGCCCCCUGGGCUAAGACUGACGCCUGAGGCACGAAAGCGUGGGGAGCAAACAGG